rnacentral:lncRNA from 10 species
UAUUAACAGUUUUUGGAGUUUGGACAUCAUUUAAUAUAUGCAAGCAGUGCCUUAAUAGUAUUUGUUCUUCAACCAGGUUUAUUACAGACUAUCAAGAAGUAACUAGCCAAAAAACUGAUAACCAUUUUAUAUAAUCUGUCAUCUUGUUAAACAUUAUUUGUAAGGAAAAACUGGAAAUUAAUUACAUAUAAAUGGAUGAAUAAUUCUCAUGUGGGAUAGUUUUCACUUGUUCCUUCCUUUGGAGGGCAGAUUAGAACAUGAUGAAUGUAGUUUGCACAAUACAUUAUCAACAUCUUGGAGUUGUCAGAACUUGCAAUGCCCUGAUUUCGUUCUAUUUACUUUUCCUCAAAUAAUAACCAAAAAGUAAGUUGAGAAAUAAGUUAAUUAUUAUACAUUGAUACAAUAUAAUAUAAAAUCAUUGAAAGCUUUUACAGAGUGAUUUCAGCAAUAUGGUGGAUCAAAAGGCCCCUACUUGUCUCAUGGACGCGUCAAGAAGUGAUCUGAAAUUGACUAAAAUAAACUUAUUUAUUUAUGGGGGUGCUGAGUAGAAAUGUAGUAUGAUGCCAAGGGCAAGAGAUUAGGGGAAGAGACGUGCAAUAGUCCGUCUAACCCAUUGAGGGGAAGCUGGGGUGUGAAUUUUUGAAAUAGUAAGCUAUUCAAAAGCCAGUAGGUAUUUGGGGGAACUACUAAUGGGCACACACAGUCCAGGCAGAUACAAGUUCAGAAAAUUGCUGACAAGGCCUUAGGGUUUUAUGUUGGGCUUAUGCUAAGACUAAGAACAUACCAAGCAUAUUAGUUGAUAAUCG